rnacentral:tRNA from 1 species
GACCGCAUGGCUCAGUUGGAAGAGCAUUGGGCUAGUAUUCCAAAGGUCGUAGGUUCGAAUCCCACCGUGGCCG